rnacentral:rRNA from 1 species
CCUACGGGUGGCAGCAGUGAGGAAUAUUGGUCAAUGGACGAGAGUCUGAACCAGCCAAGUAGCGUGAAGGAUGACUGCCCUAUGGGUUGUAAACUUCUUUUAUAAAGGAAUAAAACGAGGCACGUGUGCCUUUUUGCAUGUACUUUAUGAAUAAGGAUCGGCUAACUCCGUGCCAGCAGCCGCGGUAAUACGGAGGAUCCGAGCGUUAUCCGGAUUUAUGGGGUUUAAAGGGAGCGUAGGUGGGUUUUUAAGUCAGUUGUGAAAGUUUGCGGCUCAAACGUAAGAUUGCAAUUGAUACUGGUAGGCUGGAGUACAGGUGAGGGAGGAGGAAUUCGUGGUGGAGCGGUGAAAUGCUUAGAUAUAACGAAGAACCCCGAUUGCGAAGG